GCCCGCAUGGCUUAGUGGUACAGCGUCGCACUCGUAAUGCGAAGAUCCCUCGUUCGAUUCGGGGUGUGGGCA
rnacentral:tRNA from 1 species